rfam:Streptomyces sp. C genomic scaffold supercont1.3, whole genome shotgun sequence.
CUUGACGGAGCCGAGCCACAGCGGCCGGUCCUCGGGGCGGUUCUUGCCGUAGGCGGUCAGCAGGGCCUGCGCCUC